rnacentral:rRNA from 1 species
GUGGGGAAUAUUGGACAAUGGGCGAAAGCCUGAUCCAGCCAUGCCGCGUGUGUGAAGAAGGUCUUCGGAUUGUAAAGCACUUUAAGUUGGGAGGAAGGGCAGUAAGUUAAUACCUUGCUGUUUUGACGUUACCGACAGAAUAAGCACCGGCUAACUUCGUGCCAGCAGCCGCGGUAAUACGAAGGGUGCAAGCGUUAAUCGGAAUUACUGGGCGUAAAGCGCGCGUAGGUGGUUUUGUAAGUUGGAGGUGAAAUCCCCGGGCUCAACCUGGGAACUGCCUCCAAAACUGCAUGACUAGAGUACGGUAGAGGGUAGUGGAAUUUCCUGUGUAGCGGUGAAAUGCGUAGAUAUAGGAAGGAACAUCCGUGGCGAAGGCGACUACCUGGACUGAUACUGACACUGAGGUGCGAAAGCGUGGGGAGCAAACAGGAUUAGAAACCCGGGUAGUCC